AUUCAACUUUGUAUCACCUGAGCUUAACUAACACCUGGCACAGAGAAGAAACAUAUUAAGGAUUUGCUGAGAGAAUAAGAUAGUAUAACUUGGUCUUAUAUCUAAGGUUUGAUUUUCUAGGAACCUAUAGUGAAUUUUAGGCUUGCUUUUCAGUUUUUGUAGCAGGGAUGUAGCACAGGUUUGGGACUCAGCACACCUAGUCUGAAAGCUGAUUUCUGUCACAGCAUGCAUGAGGGACAGUCUCUUCAGUUUAUUUAUACCUUAGUGCUGUGAUUCUCGAGCUUAUAGACACUGUGAGGACAGAAUUUUAGCUCUUUAAACAAAGGGGGGCAAAUAUACAGUGACCUCUAUCUAUGUAGGUAUUUAACUGAAAGGAAUUCCAGGGCCAAGUGUGUCUACUAUUAAAAGAAACGUACUUUUCUUACAAUGUAGUCCCUGAAUGCAAAUCAUGGUUUUAUCUGGUGGGCAACUGAAGAAACAGCAAUCUGAACUGAUAUGGGAGGCAGACCUCACUGUAACAGGAUUAGUGAGAAACAGUGUUUGUGGCUCUUAAUUGCUCAUUUUUUUUUUUUUAAUGGGGGAUGUUAGGGAUUUUCUAAGGGCAGGUUUAUCCAUAUGCAGAGUUGAUGUUAGGAUGUAAUACCACAAAGAUGUAAUUAACUCCUCUGUUUGUGGUCUCCAUGUUAAUUCACUCUCAUAAGAGGGUAUGCAGUGUGGUCACUAUUCUACCACCAUUUUUAAGAAAAAAUUUAAAACUAUUUUUUAUCUUCCAAAUUAAAUAUUUUGCUAUUUGAUAAGUUAACAAUGCAACAGAAAAUCAAUAUAACUUUUAUCUUUACCAGAAGCCAUAAAAGUCUAUCUAGGAAAAUUUCAGAUGUGUGAACAUGGCUUUAGAGAAGGAACUCAACUACAGACUAUAAGAAAUGUAAAACCAAGCCAGGUUCCUGUUGUGGUCCUUUAUUAUGACCUGGUGACCUAAGCUAGAGAAUCACAGCACUAAGGUAUAAGUAAACCAAAUAGCAUGCAUUGGCUUUAGUUCAGAAGGGGAUUUUUGUGCAGAAAAUAAAUUGAAAGUAGGGCCUCUGGCCAGCAUAAACAGAUAAGAAAAAAGUAUGAUUCCCUACGUCUCAAAAAUGACUCCUUCACACAUCCCACCAAUCAAAGAUCCAUUUGGAAUAACAGGUCUUCUAAAAGCUGCCAUAGAAGUUAAGCCUCCUACCACCUAUACUUCUGUGUGAAUUGAUUUAGUCUGGAGGCAUUUUGAUUGCUUUUCUCCUAACACCUAACUUAGAAGGUGAAAUAGAGGUCUUGUUUGGAGGGAAUUGAAGAAGGAAAAGGAAAGGGCAAUUUCAGAUCAAGGGAUAUGUUGGAAUGGUGGAAAAGUAGGAUCAUUAGGACAGCUGGGAACAGUCUUUUAGUUCUUGGAAGCCAGGAAAAAGAUGUAGAGAGAAGGGCAGAAGUGGUCAAGGCUCCAUGAAAAGGAGGAUGUAGCAGUCAAAUUGGAUGUCGACCAUGCAACAAUGACGUCAGGAACCCUGCUUGGUAUACCAUCUGUACCUGUCUGUACAGAGUUUCACUCUUGUUGCCCAGGCUGGAGUACAAUGGCAUGAUCUCGGCUCACUGAAACCUCUGCCUCCUGGGUUCAUUCAAGCGAUUCUCCUGCCUCAGCCUCCUGAGUAGCUGGGAUUACAGCCUCCUCUACAUACCUCCACCUUCUAACUCCAAGAAGUCAAAAUGAAGUCUCACCAUAUUGAUCAGACUGGUCUUGAAGUCCUGGCUUCAAAUGAUCUUCCCUCCUCAGCCUCCCAAACUGCUGGGAUUAUAGAUCUUGCAGACAACAGAUCAUGGAACUUCUUGGCCUCCAUAAUCUCAUGAGCCAAUUUCUGUAAGUCUCUCUGUCUCUCUGGAGAACCUUGGCUAAUAUACACACACACCAUGAUUGAUAGUGGAUGCCCAAUAAAUGCAUUCCAAAAUAUAUGGAUGCCCAAUAAAUAUGUGUAAGUAUGAAUACUCAAUAAAUAAACAAAAAUGAAAGAACGGA
ensembl:lncRNA SGO1-AS1 SGO1 antisense RNA 1